CACACGUAAGGUAUAUGAUAAAUAUUCACUGAGUAAGUGAAUAAAUGGAGGCAGAAAAAAAUCAAAUGCACAAGAUUUAGUGUAGUGUCUAGGGUACUAUUAAUGAAAUUAAAAUUCACCAAAAAAAGAAGAGGACAAGAAAAAUUUUCUGAUGAAAGUAAAAUGCAAACCAAGUGGUCAUUUUAAAAUAAAAAGAAAUCCAACCUUGAUUUUAUUAAAAUUUAACCUUUCCUCUAAAUUUAGUAGAAGUCAAUAGGUCAACCCAUGGUUAUUGUUUGAAAUCUACACUGAAAAGAAGUUAAGAAAAUACUAUUUAAAAAUUGGCAUAUGAUUCCAUCAAUUUGAGAAUUUGAUUACUCUUAUUCAAAAAAUCUGUAAUAAAAUAUUUUUGUGAUAUAUUACUCAGUGGGAAAUUAAAUAAUUCAUUUCAUGUCAAUGGAUUUAUAUAUAUCAUUUAAUAAAUUUAAUAACUAUGAAUAUAAUCUACUCCCAUAUUCUACCAACAGCCAUAUCAUCCUACAUUCGGACAUGAAAAUUUUGUCUCAUUUUAAGUAUGUCCAAGAACAGAGAUGUCUCACAUUCUUUAAGAAAUCAUGUUAAAUCCAGCUUGGGCCUCUAGAUCCCUUUAUAACUUUUUUCAAAUUCUCUAUUGCAUUAAUUUAUUUUUUAAAAUAAAAUUUUAAAUUAGUUCCAUAAAGAUAAAAAACAAAUAGGCUUCAGUCUCAAAGAUUCUUCUUGUUGCUCUUCUACGUACUUGCUCACUUCCCCUUCAACCCAUGCAAAACAUUUUCAAAAUUUAACUAGUGUUUUGCACCUGGAAAAUACAGGCAUGCAUGGAGAGUGGGAGGAGAAUUCAGCUGACAGGUUUUAAAAUAGAGUUCUCAGUUGUGGAAGGUUUUGUUGUUGGAGAAAGCUGGAAUCUUCCCCUUCUGGUCAGCAAAGCAAAUUAGGAUGGUGUUGAAAUUAUAUCUGUCUUGUCAUCUCCCUGGCAGGACACCUCUUGAUAGGGCCUUCUGUUCCUCCCAUUUCUUGGCAGCCUCUGCCUUUGGGAUGUCUGGAAAUAAUGGAACUUUCAAGACUAAAUAAUGGAGCCUGGCAGAGCUUCUGUAGUUCUUACUUAAAGAUCUAAAUCAUAUGUUUGCAUCAGGUCAUUUAAAGUAAACUUAAAGCACUUGAAUUGAAGCUUGAAAUAUAACUGCUCAGCAAUAGAAUUCAGUUUUGUCAGCUCUCCCUGUGAUGGCAAUUUCAUCUAGAAAACAGCGGAUCACAGGAUUUCGUUAAACGUAUCCUGUUGCUUUUAAAGUAUAUGAUGCUUCACACUUUAGGUACGAAAAGAUAAAAUAUCCAGACAGAUGAUUUGGUACCCAUCAUUGGAAGCAGAUGCAUGGUUUUUAAAUGUGGCAAGCAACGCAGAUCUGCCUGUAUCUGGUUUUGCUCUAUCCUUCACUGACUUGAUCUGAGUAGGAGCUCUCGCUAACUUCAGAAAGAACACUACAUCUUUGACUCCAGAGCAAACUCCUGUAUGCAAUUCCACAGGGCACAGAGCAAAACAGGAAUGUGUUUUGUACUUUUCAGUGUCAGUAUGAUUCAUGUAAUCUGCCCAAAUACGUGUUCUCUGAGUGCUCCACCACUUGAAAAUUUUUGUAUUUCCCUUGAUGAGGUCUCAAUUUUAUUGCUUGUGUUUUUGUAGGCAACAGAUUCAAGUAAUGCCAUUUUUGUAAGCACGGGUGGACCUCAUUCAAGCCUUGCUUUUGUUAGUUCUGUGUUAGUCGUGAAAAAAAUAUGAUGGUAUAAACUGAAUCUCAAAAAUAUGCUGAGUGAAAGAAGCCUUACACAAAAGAGUUCAUGUUGAAUGAGUCCAUUUAGAUGCAGUUCUAGAACAAGCUAAACUAAUCAAUGGCAAAGUACAGGGGACCCUCAGUAUCUGCAGGAGAUUGGUUUCAGGACCCCUGCAGAUACCAAAAUCCGAGGGUGCCCAGAUCUUUUGCAUAAAAUGGUGUAGUAUAUUCAUAUAGGCCACGCACAUCCUCCUGUAUAUCUUAAAUCAUUUCUAGAUUACUUAUAAUACCCAAUGCAAGGUAAAUGCUAUGCAAAUAGUGGUAAUUGCAAUAUAAAUAGCUGCCAGCACAUGGCAAAUUCAAUUUUUGGUUUUUAGAACUUUCUGGAAUUUUUUUCGGAUAUUUUCAUUCUACAAUUGAUUGAAACCAAGGAUGUGGACUCUACAGAUGAGAAGGGCCAACUGUAUUCAUAAAGCUUUAUGAGUGGGAAAGAGAUACGUGUUCUGAUUUUUUUCAAAAUAUUUUCAUUUGCAAAUUUACCUGAAAUAAUAGCUAAUAUUCAAAAGGCAUUCCUAUUUGCAGAUAUGAUUUUUCAGCUAACAGGGAUCAAAUUGGAGCUAUAGCUGCCGGCCUACAUCACAGCCACAGCAAUGCCAGAUCCAAGCUGUGUCUCUGACCUACACUGAAGCUCACGGCAACACCACAUCCUUAACCCAUCGAGCAGGGCCCGAGAUCAAACCUGCAUCCUCAUGGAUACUAGUCAGGUUUAUUACCACUGAGCCACAGUGGGAACUCCAAGGCAUCUUAAUUUAAAUUUUUUUAAAUUUUCUGUCAAACACGAAUUCACCCAACAUAAAAGUUCCCAUUGUAAUCAUUUUAAAGUAUACAAUUCAGUGACAUUUAGUACAUUCACAAUGUUGUGCCAACAUCACCAGCAUCUAGUUCCAAAACUUUUCCUCAGCCCAAAGGGAAAUCUUGUACCAACCGAUUAAGCAGUCACUCCCUAUUCUCUCUUAUUUUUAAAUGCCUCUUUUUACUUUCACUUACAUAUGUAUUAAGUGACCAUGUUUUCAGUACCUCCUAUAUCCUGGCACUGUACAGGUGGGCAGAGAUAGCAUGGUCCCAGAGAGACCCACAGGUCCCUUUUGAAGGCUCUUCCCCUGCCUGCCCCAAGGUAAGGCAUUAAAUAGAGGGUGUUUCCAAUAAGUUACAUAAAACUGCAAUGUUUGUUUUCUAGCAACACUUUUAAAAAUAAUCUUCCUUUAGAAGGCAAAUUUUAGAAACACAGACUUUCAUGAAAAGUUUUCCAUUUACUUUGAAAGAAAGACUUUGAAGUGUUUUGACAAAUUAUUUAGCGGCAUCAGCGAAGGAAAGGGAAUCAGGAACUUUUGAUUCUAUUCCUGUAUACCAGUGGCUUUCCCAUGUGGGUUUAGGCAAAUCACUUACUGUUUGCUGUGUUACUUCUUAGGGUGUUCUUUCUCAGAAUGAGUAAAACAGUUCAAUAUUCUGAAUUGGAGGUGAUGUACAGAAUAUAUACAUUGCGGGAUUUUAUGCAACAAUGGUAAUAACCUACUUUCUGAAUGACUGCGAGAGGCUCGGUCUUUCUCAGCGUGACCUUUUUGCCUAGUCUCAUCAGCAUCCAUGCAAAUAAUGUUAAAAGAGCAACAUUUGACAAGUGCUGAUCAUAAUCACACACAAAACAAGAUUCUACACACAACUUUAAUGAGCAAGAGAAUGGUCAUAUUGCCAGGCCCGUCCAUACGCAUGGAAAGAAUCAAAGUCGACACACACACACACACACCCAUUUUUCUCAAAUUUCCCAGCUCAGUCCCAACUUCCAAUAUCAAGUCCCUCUGACAAGUUCAGCAUCACAAAUGUUUCUUUCUCUGGACUAUUCUCAUGCUUCCUACUUUCACUCUCAUACACUCAUAUUUCUAAUUUGUCGCAGUCUCUUUAUGAGGCAAUUUAACAGUAUACCAAAAAAAAUUGAACUUUAACUUAAAAUGGAAAUAUGCUUUGAUAUUGAAUAUCUGUUUUUAAUAUUUAUCCUUAAAUUACAGUAUUUCAAACUAUUGCAAUAGAAUAGUGGAAUAUGCAUUGUUAUAUAAUCUAUGGUGGAAAUAGAUAAAAAUUAUAUUGCAGGAUAUUUUAAUAGAAAAAUAACAAAUAGAAGUAGCUUAAGGCCAUAAUAAUUUGCAUAUAUUCAUACAAUCUAUGAUACAUCUGUAUAACUAAAAACCAAAUGAGGUAGAGCUUAUACCUACUGAUAUAGAAUGAUUACCAUACUAUAUUGUUAUAAAGAUCAUUUACUAAAUCAUCAAAUAAUUACUGAGCACUUACUAUAUUCCAGGUAUUUUUGUAACUACUAGGCUUUGUAAGGAGCAAAACUCCUAUCACCACCCCAUGCAAAAUGAAGAGGAAGAUUCAAAAUAUGCGUGAGCACGGGAAUUCCCGUCGCGGCGCAGUGGAAACAAAUCCGACUAGGAAGCAUGAGGUUGCAGGUUCGAUCCCUGACUUUGCUCAGUGGGUUAAGGAUCUGGCACUGCUGUGACCUGUGGUAUAAAUUGAAGUCGUGGCUCAGAUCCUGCGUUGCAGUGGCUGUGGUGUAGGCCAAUGGCUGUAGCUCCAAUCGGACCCCUAGUCUGGGCCCUCCCCAUAUGCCAUAGGUGCAGCCCUAAAAAAAAAAAGCAAAAAAAAAUAUAUAUAUAUAUAUACAUAUAUGUAUAUGUAUAUAUGAGCAGGAUUAACAUCUGCACAGGCAUCUACAUGGUGCUAUUAAUCAAGUCCUCUCUAAAAAUGUGCAUCUGAGCAGGGAUGUGAAAGCAAUGGUAGAAUGAGAGGGAAGAGUAUUGGGGGGAAAUGAAAUGGCAGAAGUGUAGAUCUGAAGGGAUUCUGCCUGGCAUAUUCCAGAAUAGCAAGGAAGCUGGGCUGAUUGAGUGGAUGUGGGACAUAAAUGAUAAGCCAUAGUAAGAGAAUCCCAUAGGAAGAGCAGAGAACUUCGUCCCAGAGAGCCUCAUGGACUAUUUACUCUAAGAAUUUGUCUUUAAUACUGAGUGACAUGAGCCAAAGCCAAGAGAUGAGAAGACCCAUCUUAUGUCAAAAGAUCUGUGAGGAGAGUAAACUGGGGUCACAAUGCAAGAGUAGAAGCAAAGAGGCAAAUUAGAAGGCAAUUGCAAUAAUUCACAGGGGACGGUCGUGGCUUGGGAUAGAAUGAUGGCACAAGAGGAUUAGAAGUGAUUAGACUCUGCAUGUAUUUUAAGGUAGUGUAAAAA
rnacentral:lncRNA from 1 species